rnacentral:rRNA from 1 species
UGCAGCGACGCCGCGUGAGGGAUGACGGCCUUCGGGUUGUAAACCUCUUUCAGCAGGGAAGAAGCCACAAGUGACGGUACCUGCAGAAGAAGCGCCGGCUAACUACGUGCCAGCAGCCGCGGUAAUACGUAGGGCGCAAGCGUUGUCCGGAAUUAUUGGGCGUAAAGAGCUCGUAGGCGGUUUGUCGCGUCUGCUGUGAAAGCCCGGGGCUCAACCCCGGGUCUGCAGUGGGUACGGGCAGACUAGAGUGCAGUAGGGGAGACUGGAAUUCCUGGUGUAGCGGUGAAAUGCGCAGAUAUCAGGAGGAACACCGAUGGCGAAGGCAGGUCUCUGGGCUGUUACUGACGCUGAGGAGCGAAAGCAUGGGGAGCGAACAGGAUUAGAUACCCUGGUAGUCCAUGCCGUAAACGUUGGGCACUAGGUGUGGGGGACAUUCCACGUUCUCCGCGCCGUAGCUAACGCAUUAAGUGCCCCGCCUGG